CCCUUAGAUGUUCUGGGCCGCACACGCGCUACACUGAAGGAGGCAGCGUGUACUCCUGGAUCGAAAGAUUUGGGUAACCCGCGAAUCUCCUUCGUGCUAGGGAUUGAGGUUUGCAAUUAUCCUUCAUGAACGAGGAAUUCCCAGUAAGUGCAAGUCAUAAGCUUGCGCUGACUACGUCCCUGCCCUUUGUACACACCGCCCGUCGCUACUACCGAUUGAAUGAUCCGGUGAAUAAUUCGGACUGCAGCACUGCUUGGUCUCCAGGCUUUGCAGCGGAAAGUUUAGUGAACCUUAUCACUUAGAGGAAGGAGAAGUCGUAACA
rnacentral:rRNA from 1 species